rnacentral:rRNA from 1 species
AACCAGCUCUUCAAGUGGUCGGGAUAAUUAUUGGGCUUAAAGUGUCCGUAGCUGGUAGGGUAAGUUCCUGGUAAAAUUGGGCAGCUUAACUGUCCUUGUGCUAGGGAUACUGUUCUACUAGAGGGCGGGAGAGGUCUGAGGUACUACAGGGGUAGGGGUGAAAUCUUAUAAUCCUUGUAGGACCACCAGUGGCGAAAGCGUUAGACUGGAACGCGCCUGACAGUGAGGGACGAAAGCCAGGGGAGCGAACCGGAUUAGAUACCCGGGUAGUCCUGGCCGUAAACGAUGCGCACUAGGUGAUGGUGCGGCUAUGAGCCGCAUCAGUGUCGUAGGGAAACCGUUAAGUGUGCCGCCUGGGAAGUACGGUCGCAAGGCUUAAACUUAAGGAAUUGGCGGGGGAGCACCACAAGGGGUGAAGCCUGCGGUUC